ACGUAGGGGGCGAGCGUUAUCCGGAAUGAUUGGGCGUAAAGAGUGCGUAGGUGGUUCUUUAAGCGUGAGGUGAAAGGCAAUGGCUUAACUAUUGUAAGCCUUGCGAACUGGAAAACUUGAGUGCAGGAGAGGUAAGUGGAAUUCCUAGUGUAGCGGUGAAAUGCGUAGAUAUUAGGAGGAACACCAGUGGCGAAGGCGGCUUACUGGACUGUAACUGACGCUGAGGCGCGAAAGCGUGGGGAGCAAACAG
rnacentral:rRNA from 1 species